CCUACGGGAGGCAGCAGUGAGGAAUCUUCCACAAUGGGGGCAACCCUGAUGGAGCAACGCCGCGUGCAGGAUGAAGGCCUUCGGGUCGUAAACUGCUUUUAUAAGUGAGGAAUAUGACGGUAACUUAUGAAUAGUGCUCGGCUAACUACGUGCCAGCAGCCGCGGUAAU
rnacentral:rRNA from 1 species